UACAUUCACCGCAGACUUCGUGCUCGGGAAGACGGUUCGUUGGCUCCGGUUUUUGUCGGAGUCGCAGCGAAACAAUCCGUCGCCGCCGCGCGACUGUAAGGCGGAAGCCGCUCACAUCCCCGCGACCCGGCCAGGGGUCGCACUUGAGGAUGUCGAGUGUGCUUGCAAGGCAACCCGGCAAGGGUUGCACUUGAAGAGGUUCGCAGGCCACUGCGGCAAAACGCUCGUCGUCGCGACCCGUUAGAAGUCGCGACUCAAGAACAACAAGGGCGCCGCCGCGGGAAGGCUGUGAGCCAUGCACACCGCCAAGCCAGGAGACCGGCGAAGUCUGCAGCCUGUGC
rnacentral:ncRNA from 2 species